rnacentral:RNase_P_RNA from 1 species
GGAGUGGGCCGAGCGGUCGCUGCGUUUUCGGCAUCGCCGAAAACGGGGAGGAAAGUCCGGGCUCCACAGGGCACGGUGGUGGGUAACGCCCACCGUCCGCAAGGACAGGGAAAGUGCCACAGAAAACAAACCGCCGCGCCGGUUCGCCGGUACGGUAAGGGUGAAAAGGUGCGGUAAGAGCGCACCGCGGCACGGGUGACCGGGCCGGCAGGGUAAACCCCACCGGGAGCAAGACCAAGCAGGGGGGACUGUGCCCGGCGUUUUCGCCGAGCACAACGGAUCGGUCCGAUCCGUCCGACUUCCGGGUGUGUCGCUCGAGGCGGCGGGCAAUCGCCGUCCUAGAAAAAUGACCGCUCUCGACAAAACCCGGCUUACAGGCCCACUCCGCGU